rnacentral:lncRNA from 1 species
CGACUAGACUAUCACCUUUAAGCUAAGAUAUGUUAAUAAACAAAGACAACAUAUGUUAAUAAAAAAGAAUAGAGAAUAAGAAAAACACUUGUACUGGUGCAAGUAUUUUGUUGCCCUAGUAAGAACCCUUUAAGCUAGUCCCCAAACACAAGAUGGUACAGCAUUGCCUUUUGCCAUAUUUGAGAUUCAAUCCAACCUGCCCUUGAUUGGUGGGUUCUACAAUAAUGGUCCCUUCACCAUCAUUCAUCCAUUCCCAUUAGGGUUUCUGAUUUCUCACCACUGUUCAUCCUAUAUCUCAUACCUACCUACCUACCUACCUAGGGCUUCUCAGGAGCUACCCUCUAUCCCUAAUCAUGUUCUAUCUAUCUGCAUAUUUAGAACUAUUUGCUAGGUUCCCUUCUUUGGUUCUGUGAUCUGUUAUUUAUAGUAAUUUUGAUGCCAAUCAAUGUUAGGGAAAGGCCAAAAAGGGUUAUAAGUUAAAGGUACUAAAAGUGGUGAAGAUCUUAGCAAGGUUGUACGAUUUGUUUUUCAACAAUGUUCAGUGAGUUCUAAGGUUGCUGACAUGCCAUAUAUAGGUACAUCUGGGAUGGAUUUUCUGUUUCUAGAAUCAUUCAUUCUUCUUCUAUGUUAUAUAU